AGCUAGGGCUUGUAUGGGUGACACUAAAAUGUAGUUUAUCUGCGAAUCAGGUAUUAGCCUCGCGGAAGUGUUUUUUGUGUUUUUUUGGCAGUCCUGGGAAAGCUUCAGUAUCGCAACAGACGCUGAAUAAAUGUUGGGAUUCGAGAAUGAAGUAACAGCCUCUGCCUUCAUGCUUACGUUCUAUGCCGGGAUCGUAGAAGGGAUUCACAAAUAAAACACGUGUUUUCUUUAGCAAGCAUUUACUGUGUGAGCCGUGUUCCGUGGAGGAAAGAAGGAUGGGCAGGGUGCAGGAAUGAUUGGCUGUCCUGACCCAACAGUGAAUGAGAGUUCCUGUGGCUCCACAUCCUCACCAGCAUUUGGUGUCGUCGGUGUUCCAGAUUCUGACCAAUCUCAUAGGUCCUGACCCACUGGUGGGGAAGAGUGAAAGGGAGAUUGCAUCUGCUCAGGGGUCCCUCGUGAUUCCCCUUGUGUAUCCUGAUUUUGGCCGAUGGAAUGCAAGAAGCACUGUGUCUGGUGACUUUGGGGAAAGGCUCUGCCACCUGACACCAGGGUGAGGUGACAAGGGGCAGGUUCUGUGGCUCUGGCAUCCUCCAUCCCUCCCAGAUGCUGCCCCGUGAGGAUGUAACAUGAGAAGCCACGGCAGCUAUGACCUUAAAAGGAGACGUUCCGGGCCCCACCAGGACUAAAGAGCAGGAAGGAGGAAAGACCUGGGUUCCAGGCAAGUUUGGGCCUGGAGCAGACAGAUGGCCAGCAACUGCAAAGGCUGCACACGUUAAAAUAUACAUCGGCCAGAAAGAGGCUGAGGUCUUCUGUGACCAGAUCCAGUGCCCACGCACCCUGGGGCUCAGCCCGCAAGUUGAUUGCAUGAAGGGUCGAAGGCAUCACACGUCCAAGCACCGUGCUUGUCUGCAGGAGGUUGGCUUGGCCCAGAAUCGCCUUCUGCCUGAUGGGAAGGUUGGUUCGAUUUCAGACCACCAUCACUAUUUACCUGUCCUCCCACAAGAAUGAAAGACCGCAGUACAAGUACAUAUGGCACUCACUUUGCAGUUCAUAGUCUCAUAAAAGUUGUAACCAUUGGCUUCACCCAGGAAAGAGUGGUCAUCAACGGACACAAACAGGUGGGAAGCUCCCUGCACUUGGUGUCGUGCUUGCGGACCUGAAGGGGGACUCCAGCGAGUCCAGCACCAAUGGACAGUGGUCUAAAACCUGCAUAAGGGGACGCCUGGGUGGCUCAGUCGUUUAAGCGUCUGCCUUCGGCUCAGGUCAUGGUCCCAGGGUCCUGGGAUCGAGCCCCGCAUCAGGCUCCUUGCUGUGCUCCCCCUACUUGUGCUCUCUCUGUUAAAUAAAUAACAAAUAAAAUCUUAAAAAAAUAAAAGCUGCAUAAAAAUGGCAAAUCUCUUCUCAGAGAGCAAUAUUUCAAUCUCACCAGAGCUACUGAUAUUUCAAAGUUAAAACAAUGGACAGUAAUUUGGAGUUUUAAAUGGUGCAGAAACAGAUUUUCUAAUUUCACUUCCGACAGAAAUUAAAUUUAGACAAAAAAGUAAUAAUACUGAAGCAUAGAUUAGAAUUUCAGUCAGGAUUUGUCAUGGCAAUUGCUUUCCCUUUUUUGGCCCUUUAAUGUUUCCCUCUAAUGACAAUUUGCUGACAUUUCUUAGAAGAAUGAAACCAGUUGAGAUCUAAGCAUUUGUUUGAGUGCAAGCUGAGUUUUAAAUUAAUUUCCCCAGAGAAAAUAAGGGCUCCAGAGGGGUCAUAUUAGCCACAAAGGUUGAGCUGUCUGAAGGUAUUGUGAAACCCCAGAGCUGAAACAAUCCUGAAAAAAAAGUGGGGAGCAAUGAUUUCAGUUCCUUUCAGAAGAGCAGGAAAGCAGCAACCUACCUAAGGGGGUGAUGAGACAUUGUUUUACAAAACUAAGCAGAAGGGAUGAAGUCCAUUCUAAAAGCUAUGAGAGAUGGAUCAUUUACUUUAAAAAAAAAUCUGUCAGAGUCUCCUACAUUGGACAAGGCUCUGUGUUCGGUGCUGUGGGGGUUACAAAAAUUAAAACAGAAGUUCUACUCUCAAGAGGCAAAAAGAUCUUCACAUCUGGUAGAACUCGGUAAGUCCCAAAGGGUAUUUGGGGGGGGGGGGCGUUGUGCCUUAAUUUAUGUGUUCACUCCUCAAAUAUUUGGGGAGAUCUACUAGGUCUGAGCACCGGGCUCUAUACUUCUGAUACACCAUAAAGAAGGCGGAGCCCCUCCCACGGAGGCACAAUUGUAGUUCCACAAGAUACUUGCUAACACAGAGGCAUAAAUGGGACGCCAGUGAUGAAUAUCACGUGUGUUUUGAUAUCAGAAUGAGCAAAAUUUCAUUUCUCCCUCACUGAUUAUUUUUGUGAUGACCACAAACUUACGUUUUCUGGGAUUUACUUUUCUUGUUUACAAAAUUAAGAAUAUUUUACUUACUUCAAAGAACUAGUCUAACAGUAUAAUAGGAUUGCAUAUGUGAGAUUCAGGCACGAAUCAGCACAGCCAGGAGAAAUUGCAUAUGGCCGGUGUAGUAGUCUAUUACCCUGAGAACCAGAGGAGAGAGCAAUCCUCCCUUCUUUCCAGGUAAAG